rnacentral:rRNA from 1 species
CGCUAUCGAUAGGCUUAACACAUGCAAGUCGAGGGGCAGCAUGAUCUUAGCUUGCUAAGGUUGAUGGCGACCGGCGCACGGGUGCGUAACGCGUAUGCAACUUGCCUUACAGAGGGGGAUAACCCGUUGAAAGACGGACUAAAACCGCAUACACUUGUAUUAUUGCAUGAUAUUACAAGGAAAUAUUUAUAGCUGUAAGAUAGGCAUGCGUCCCAUUAGCUGGUUGGUGAGGUAACGGCUCACCAAGGCGACGAUGGGUAGGGGAACUGAGAGGUUUAUCCCCCACACUGGUACUGAGACACGGACCAGACUCCUACGGGAGGCAGCAGUGAGGAAUAUUGGUCAAUGGGCGAUAGCCUGAACCAGCCAAGUCGCGUGAAGGAAGACAGUCCUAAGGAUUGUAAACUUCUUUUAUACGGGAAUAACGGGCGAUACGAGUAUUGCAUUGAAUGUACCGUAAGAAUAAGCAUCGGCUAACUCCGUGCCAGCAGCCGCGGUAAUACGGAGGAUGCGAGCGUUAUCCGGAUUUAUUGGGUUUAAAGGGUGCGUAGGUUGUUCGGUAAGUCAGCGGUGAAACCUGAGCGCUCAACGUUCAGCCUGCCGUUGAAACUGCCGGGCUUGAGUUCAGUGGCGGCAGGCGGAAUUCGUGGUGUAGCGGUGAAAUGCAUAGAUAUCACGAGGAACUCCGAUUGCGAAGGCAGCUUGCCAUACUGCGACUGACACUGAAGCACGAAGGCGUGGGUAUCAAACAGGAUUAGAUACCCUGGUAGUCCACGCAGUAAACGAUGAUUACUAGGAGUUUGCGAUAUACCGUCAAGCUUCCACAGCGAAAGCGUUAAGUAAUCCACCUGGGGAGUACGCCGGCAACGGUGAAACUCAAAGGAAUUGACGGGGGCCCGCACAAGCGGAGGAACAUGUGGUUUAAUUCGAUGAUACGCGAGGAACCUUACCCGGGAUUGAAAUGUAGAUGACGGAUGGUGAAAACCGUCUUCCCUUCGGGGCUUCUAUGUAGGUGCUGCAUGGUUGUCGUCAGCUCGUGCCGUGAGGUGUCGGCUUAAGUGCCAUAACGAGCGCAACCCACAUCGGUAGUUGCUAACAGUUUUCGCUGAGGACUCUACCGAGACUGCCGUCGUAAGGCGUGAGGAAGGUGUGGAUGACGUCAAAUCAGCACGGCCCUUACAUCCGGGGCGACACACGUGUUACAAUGGGAGGGACAAAGGGCAGCUACCGGGCGACCGGAUGCGAAUCUCUAAACCCUUCCCCAGUUCGGAUCGGAGUCUGCAACUCGACUCCGUGAAGCUGGAUUCGCUAGUAAUCGCGCAUCAGCCAUGGCGCGGUGAAUACGUUCCCGGGCCUUGUACACACCGCCCGUCAAGCCAUGGGAGUCGGGGGUACCUGAAGGGCGUAAACGCAAGGGGCGCACUAGGGUAAUACCGGUGACUG